AUUGCAAGCCCCCACCUAUGUUGGUUAAUUCUGCUCCACAUGGAAGAGACAGCCAUUGGGCCAGCCCUGAACCAAGAGCCACUGCUCCUACUACGGUCAAGCAAGGAGAAGGGUUUACCUCGGCGCUAUGUUAACUCUGCCAUGCUUGUUGAUAAUAAAAUUCAAAGAGAUGUGGACCAUCUGGACAUACCGCAGGAUAUUACAUUGAUCCAGUACAGCUAUGAUAUCAUGCUAAUUGGACAAGGAGUACGAUAUUCAAAUGCAAAGGAAGAGCGCAGAAACAGCCGAGGAAGAAUUGAAUCCCAAGGAAGCUCUAUGAAGCCAAAUGAGGAGUCACAUUUCUCAUUCCCUCAGCUUCUAUGGACUAGUUAA
rnacentral:lncRNA from 1 species